rnacentral:rRNA from 1 species
UACGUAGGGUCCGAGCGUUGUCCGGAGUUACUGGGCGUAAAGCGCGCGCAGGCGGCGGUGCUGGCCCGGCGUGAAAGCCCCCGGCUCAACCGGGGAGGGUCGUCGGGGACCGCACCGCUUGAGGGCGGUAGGGGCUGGUGGAAUGCCUGGUGUAGUGGUGAAAUGCGUAGAGAUCAGGCGGAACACCCGUGGCGAAGGCGGCCAGCUGGGCCGUCCCUGACGCUGAGGCGCGAAGGCGUGGGGGAGCGAACGGG